GACGAACGCUGGCGGCGUGCCUAAUACAUGCAAGUAGAACGCUGAAGGAGGAGCUUGCUUCUCUGGAUGAGUUGCGAACGGGUGAGUAACGCGUAGGUAACCUGCCUGGUAGCGGGGGAUAACUAUUGGAAACGAUAGCUAAUACCGCAUAACAGUAGAUGUUGCAUGACAUUUGCUUAAAAGGUGCAAUUGCAUCACUACCAGAUGGACCUGCGUUGUAUUAGCUAGUUGGUGGGGUAACGGCUCACCAAGGCGACGAUACAUAGCCGACCUGAGAGGGUGAUCGGCCACACUGGGACUGAGACACGGCCCAGACUCCUACGGGAGGCAUGCAGUAGGGAAUCUUCGGCAAUGGACGGAAGUCUGACCGAGCAACGCCGCGUGAGUGAAGAAGGUUUUCGGAUCGUAAAGCUCUGUUGUAAGAGAAGAACGGGUGUGAGAGUGGAAAGUUCACACUGUGACG
rnacentral:rRNA from 1 species